AGUAAACAGGAUGCGUCUCCGCCUCAACGAGCUGCUCAGUGAAUGUCAGGGAACAGACAGAAUGCAGAAGUGCUUGCAGAGGCUUAAACAUAGUCUUAGGACAGCCGGUUUAGGAUUAAGAGGAAUUGCUUUUUUCUCCUGGCUUAGUUCUUAAAAUCAUCCACAGCAUCUAAGGCGAGAGCUGUGCAGUUUUGUGCAUCGACUUCAAUGGAAGGAUCCAAAUUCCACCUGUGUUCUGAGUGGGACUCCCUCCAAUACCAAGUCAGGAAAGCAGGAAGAGGGCACAGUGAACUCCACUUCCCGUUUCCCUGGCCCUGCCUCCCGGCUGCAGCUGCCCCACCCCCAACACAGCUAUAGACCAUAAGUUUCACUGGAAACCAGAAGCUCAUCCAGUUAUCUCUGUAUGGAACAACUUCCUGGUGCAAUAAAGAUUUGGGGGCCACUCCCUUUCUCGUAUUCA